CGCACAUUGCGCCCUCUGGUAUUCCGGGGGGCACGCCUGUCCGAGCGUCAUCGAAUCAAUCAAGCCUAGCUUGGUAUUGGGCCUCCCCCGCGAGGGCGUGCCCGAAUGACAGCGGCGCGGCCGUCGUGAGAAGAACGCAUUGGAAUUUUUUCGUUCUUGCCUCCCGGCGUUCGUUGCCACCGACCUCAAACUCUGAAAAUUGACCUCGGAUCAGACGAGAUUACCCGCUGAACUUAA
rnacentral:misc_RNA from 1 species